rnacentral:rRNA from 1 species
GGUGGAGCAUGUGGUUUAAUUCGAAGAUACACGAAGAACUUACCUGGCCUUGACAUGGUAGGAACCCUUAAGAGAUAGGGGUGCUAGCUUGCUAGAACCUACACACAGGUGCUGCACGGCUGCGUCAGCUCGUGUCGUGAGAUGUUGGGUUAAGUCCCGCAACGAGCGCAACCCUCGUCGUUAGUUGCUAACAGUUUGGCUGAGCACUCUAACGAGACUGCCUUCGUAAGGAGGAGGAAGGUGAGGACGACGUCAAGUCAUCAUGGCCCUUACGGCCAGGGCUACACACGUGCUACAAUGGGGCGUACAAAGAGCAGCCACUUAGCGAUAAGGAGCCAAUCCCGUAAAGCCGGUCUCAGUCCGGAUUGGAGUCUGCAACUCGACUCCAUGAAGUUGGAAUCGCUAGUAAUCGCAGAUCAGCACGCUGCGGUGAAUACGUUCCCGGGCCUU